rnacentral:rRNA from 1 species
GACGAACGCUGGCGGCGUGCUUAACACAUGCAAGUCGAGCGGUAAGGCCCUUUCGGGGGUACACGAGCGGCGAACGGGUGAGUAACACGUGGGUGACCUCGCCCGUCAGCUCUGGGAGUAAAGCCUGGGAAACCGGGUCUAAUACCGGAUAUGACUCCAUGACGCAUGUUGUGGGGUGGAAAGCCUUGUGCGGCUGAGGAGUGGGCCCGCGGCCUAUCAGCUUGUUGGUGGGGUGAU